CCUACGGGUGGCUGCAGUAGGGAAUCUUCCGUAAUGGACGAACGUAUGACGGAGCAACGCCGCGUGAGCGAAGAAGGUCUUCGGAUCGUAAAGCUCUGUUGUUAGGGAAGAACAAGUAGGGGCGGAAAUGACCGUACCUUGACGGUACCUGAAGAGGAAGCCACGGCUAACUAAGUGCGAGCAGCCGCGGUAAGACGUAGGUGGCAAGCGUUGUCCGGAAUUAUUGGAAGGAAAGCGCGAGCAGGAGGUCUUUUAAGUCUGAUGUGAUAUCUUGCGGCUCAAUCGCAAGCGGUCAUUAGAAACUGGGAGCAUUGAGUGCAGAAGAGGAAAGCGUAAUUCCACGUGUAGCGGUGAAAUGCGUAGUGAUCUUGAGGAACACCAGUAGCGAAGGCUGCUUUCUGGUCUGUAACAGACGCUGAGGCGCGAAAGCGUGAGGGGCAAACAGUAUUAGAUACCCGAGUAGUC
rnacentral:rRNA from 1 species